CUUCGUCUUUCGCAUCUGACAUGUCAUCGGCAAAUUCCUUCUCACCACGAAGAAGCUUUUCGCCGUCAGAAGAUGACAAACAAGAAAUUCUUGACACGGCAUCAUCAGCAGCAUCACCUCCUCGUUAUGAUCCACUCAAUCCUUGUUAUAAACCAGGCAUUCUCGAUACAAUUUACAAGGAUCUUCCACCUCCUUCUCCCCAACCUAAAGAUGGGAUAUCUCCCAAACCAGAGGCGUCUAAAUAUGUGAGACCGAAAAUUUUUAGCAAUAUACCAUCAGCAGCAGCAAUAGCAGCCAGAGUCCCCUAUGCAGGCUAUACUAUUACUGAACCAAUAAUCAUUCGAAAUCGGCCCAAGUAUCUUAAUCCUCCUUCCCCCGAAGACAAAGAGCUAUCUGAAGAAGAGAAAGAAAGGAUUUUUGAGCGUCGUUGUCAUUGGCAUAUUUUGGCUAUGAAACACUACAAUGACACACGAAAGGAAGGGGAAGAUGAGUAUAAGAUUUCGACGUCCUCGAUUCCCAAGAGAAUGGUUCAACCUUAUAUUACUCUUGGCUUCCUUCAUAAGUUGAUGUGGGAGGGGAAGCCUAUAUCAACCGAAAAGUCCGAUUCCGCCAAGUAUUUUUUUGGUGCAGUCCAUGAAAUGAAUCCUGAUGAAAUGCACGUAGCAUAUGCCAAACGACUUAAACCAGAUCGUUUCUUGGAUCUUGAUCCUGCUCUACUUCCUACACGCUGUGAGAGAUGUGAUAUUAAGGAUCAUGAUGACUUUAGAAUCACACCAUCUAGGGACACCAACCGUAAUGAAGGUGGUGGUAUGGAAGAAGAGAUGCACAAAAAGAAGAAUCGUGAUGAUGCUGGUGUUAUUGAAGAUGAGACACCCAAAAAGAAGGCAAAAUUUGAAGAAGGCUCGGAGAAGAUGGAUGAUAUGAGCAGUGAGCCAUCUAAAGAAUAAUAGAAGGAACGAAUUCGAGAUCUAGUAUAGAUUAAGACCCGUUUUGAUAUGCAUCAACUAAGAUACGCUAAUGGUAUUUUCUGGCUGAAAUUGAGGGACCUGAGCAAAAAUCUGAAUCAGAGGCUGAGAAAGGACUACAGAUGCUGUUGGAUUCUGACCCUUCUGCACUCGAAGUGGAUUUUCUGGAGCUAAAGAAGCCCAAAUGGAACGCUCUCAAUUGCGUUAAAAAGUAGACAUCUUGGGCUUUCCAGCAAUAUAUAAUAGUCUAUACUUUGCCCGAGAUUUGAUGGCCCAAACUGGCGUUAAACGCCAGACCCUUUUCUGGCGUAAAACGCCAGAACUGGCACCAGAACUGGAGUUAAAUGUCCAAACUGGCACUCAAGCUAGCGUUUAACUCCAAGAUUGGCCUAUGCACGUGAAAGCUUCAAAGCUCAGCCCAAAUACUCACCAAGUGGGUCCCGGAAGUGGAUUUCUGCACUAUCUGCACUUAGUUACUCAUUUUCUGUAAACCUAAGUUACUAGUUUAGUAUAAAAACUACUUUUAGAGAUUCAUUUUGAAACUCAUGACAUUUUUUACAUUCUAUAUUGUAUCUCCUACGGCAUGAGUCUCUAAACCCCAUAAGUGGGGGUGAGGAGCUUUGCUGUGUCUCAAUGGAUUAAUGCAAUUACUACUG